GGAAACGGUACUUUGUUUUCUGCUGGCACCAUCCUACAGAGAAGCUUAAAGAGACUUGGAAAGCACGAGACUAUUAAUCUCUCUCAAACCACACUGGCAGAUACAGAAGACGGAGCCCUAGUGGAGAAAGUAGGUGACUGGAGGCGGACUUCCGGAUUUUACAACUGGACCUACUUCCUGUUCCUUCUCUGCCUCCUGGAGCUUAACACUGUGAGCAGCCACUUCACGCUCCUGCUGUCCUUAUCCCGCUACAAUGGAUGGUGUCCCCUCAGACUGUGAGGAAAAACCAACUCUCAAAUCAACAUCCAGUGGAUUCUUGUCAGGGGAAAACACCCCUGCCAGAUCCCCAGAGACAUCUGCAGAAACCACGGUGGGGACAAGCCCCUGAGAAACUUUUGCCUUUGUAGCUGAACCUAAAUGCAACCCCACGCAGAAUUCAGAUGCCGUGCACUUGAGAGGACCAAGUGAGACCUGGAGGACUCAUAAAAGUAAAAUCAAAUCAAAUCAAGUCCAGCCAAGGCAGCCCAGGAGGAGGAAGACAGACAGACAUCUGCCGACCAUCAUGCUACCUACAGACCUGCCCUCCAGCACAAGGCACAGCUCAGGACCACAGCUGAUGGUUUGCUGCUGCCCAUAUUCAGAAAUGUCUGCCAUCCUGUUAAGCCUCUCUGGCAGUACCCUCCCACAUACUCCCAGAGGUGCCUCCUAUGUGAGUCCAGAUGCAGUCAAGAUGACAAUGAGGGUUAACCACCAUUUCACCACACUGUGAUGUAGCUAGGAGAUGCCGAUUGGAGGGAAACAAUUGCUGGUACCAUGCUCUUAAACCUCCAAAAUGGUUAAAUAAACUCGGGGUUUAAAAAAAGA
rnacentral:lncRNA from 1 species